GACGAACGCUGGCGGCGUGCCUAAUACAUGCAAGUAGAACGCACAGUUUAUACCGUAGCUUGCUACACCAUAGACUGUGAGUUGCGAACGGGUGAGUAACGCGUAGGUAACCUGCCUGGUAGCGGGGGAUAACUAUUGGAAACGAUAGCUAAUACCGCAUAAUAUUAAUUAUUGCAUGAUAAUUAAUUGAAAGGUGCAAUUGCACCACUACCAGAUGGACCUGCGUUGUAUUAGCUAGUAGGUGAGGUAACGGCUCACCUAGGCGACGAUACAUAGCCGACCUGAGAGGGUGAUCGGACACACUGGGACUGAGACACGGCCCAGACUCCUACGGGAGGCAGCAGUAGGGAAUCUUCGGCAAUGGACGAAAGUCUGACCGAGCAACGCCGCGUGAGUGAAGAAGGUUUUCGGAUCGUAAAGCUCUGUUGUAAGAGAAGAACGGGUGUGAGAGUGGAAAGUUCACACUGUGACGGUAUCUUACCAGAAAGGGACGGCUAACUACGUG
rnacentral:rRNA from 1 species